rnacentral:rRNA from 1 species
GAAUUUUGGACAAUGGGCGAAAGCCUGCUCCAGCAAUGCCGCGUGCAGGAUGAAGGCCUGCGGGGUGUAAACUGCUUUUGUACGGGACGAAAAAAUUUGGGUUAAUACCCUGGAGUCAUGACGGUACCGUAAGAAGAAGCACCGGCUAACUACGGGCCAGCAGCCGCGGUAAUACGUAGGGUGCUAGCGUUAAUCGGAAUGACUGGGCGGAAAGCGGGCGCAGGCGGUUUUGUAAGACAGAGGUGAAAUCCCCGGGCUCAACCUGGGAACGGCCUUUGUGACGGCAAGGCUAGAGUACGGCAGAGGGGGGUGGAAUUCCGCGUGUAGCAGUGAAAUGCGUAGAUAUGCGGAGGAACACCGAUGGCGAAGGCAACCCCCUGGGCCUGUACUGACACUCAUGCACGAAAGCGUGGGGAGCAAACA